rnacentral:rRNA from 1 species
UACGAAGGGGGCUAGCGUUGCUCGGAAUUACUGGGCGUAAAGGGCUUGUAGGUGGCCAACUAAGUCAGACGUGAAAUCCCUCGGCUUAACCGGGGAACUGCGUCUGAUACUGGAUGGCUUGAGUUUGGGAGAGGGAUGCGGAAUUCCAGGUGUAGCGGUGAAAUGCGUAGAUAUCUGGAGGAACACCGGUGGCGAAGGCGGCAUCCUGGACCAACACUGACGCUGAGUGAGCGAAAGCCAGGGGAGCAAACGGG